rnacentral:rRNA from 1 species
CGAGUGGCGGACGGGUGAGGAAUACAUCGGAAUCUGCCUAUUUGUGGGGGAUAACGUAGGGAAACUUACGCUAAUACCGCAUACGACCUACGGGUGAAAGCCGGGGACCUUCGGGCCUGGCGCAGAUAGAUGAGCCGAUGUCGGAUUAGCUAGUUGGCGGGGUAAAGGCCCACCAAGGCGACGAUCCGUAGCUGGUCUGAGAGGAUGAUCAGCCACACUGGAACUGAGACACGGUCCAGACUCCUACGGGAGGCAGCAGUGGGGAAUAUUGGACAAUGGGCGCAAGCCUGAUCCAGCCAUGCCGCGUGGGUGAAGAAGGCCUUCGGGUUGUAAAGCCCUUUUGUUGGGAAAGAAAAGCAGUCGGUUAAUACCCGAUUGUUCUGACGGUACCCAAAGAAUAAGCACCGGCUAACUUCGUGCCAGCAGCCGCGGUAAUACGAAGGGUGCAAGCGUUACUCGGAAUUACUGGGCGUAAAGCGUGCGUAGGUGGUUUGUUAAGUCUGAUGUGAAAGCCCUGGGCUCAACCUGGGAAUUGCAUU